AUCAAGCUGACCAGUCUUAAACAGGACGAAAUGCACGUCCUGGAU
rnacentral:hammerhead_ribozyme from 1 species